AAGCGCCUAUGACCAGACUUGAGCCCGGUGAAUCAUCCAGCGUUCUCGCUGGUGCACUUUGCCGGGCACAGGCCAGCAUCAGUUUGGCGCGGGGGAUAAAGGCUUUGGGAAUGUGGCUCCCUCGGGAGUGUUAUAGCCCAUUGCGCAAUACCCUGCGCCGGACUGAGGUACGCGCAUUCGCAAGGAUGCUGGCGUAAUGGUCAUCAGCGA
rnacentral:rRNA from 1 species